UUUUUUUUUUUAAUUCUUCAGCUAAAACAGUGGAAAAGGUGAUUUAUUAUAUGGUUGUUACACUCGGCCACAAAUAAACACAGAAAUAGUCCAGAAUGUCACAGGUCCAGGGCAGAGGACCAACAUGGGCAUUUUUAGCAUGCAGUCCCACAACUUGUACCAGCAUCCCCAGCGUCUGGCAUUCCAUGUUUCUGCUCCUGUGGCCUCCACGGUGCAACAAGCUAGCGGUUUAC
rnacentral:lncRNA from 1 species